rnacentral:lncRNA from 1 species
AUUAAGCCAAUGACAGAAUGACUUAUCAUCAUUCUUUACGUUGCGUGUCGUUUCCUUAUAACUCGUAAUUCAUUAACCGCUCUGCUCGACGGAAAGUCAAAAAGAAGCGAAAAACAGUGACUCACUGAGUUGACUCGUGUAGAGUCACUUACCCACUAAGCUUCAUUUUUUUUCAAUUUCUCUGCAACUAAGCAAACCCACCAACAAGACUAAAAAAACUAAACUUUGUUUCUCUAAUCAGAAAAAAAAAAAAUGGCUUCCUUUCUUGGUUUCUUCACUUAUAUUACUAUUUUUCAGGCAAGAACAAGUUUUCAUUUUUGAGUCAUUUACAGUGUUGAUUACAUAAAAUGUUCAUUUGCUUCGUUGUAUAUGAUCUGAAUGGAGUGAGAUUCCGUGGUUGAAGCCUGGGUUUUAGGCUGCGCAGCAGUAGGUGUUGGCAGGCAGAAUAUUAGUUAACUCAGAAUAUGAGUGAGAUUCCGCAGAUUUGAUUACUAAUUUCAGGGUGGCGAUCCAAGAUAGUGCAUUUGUUGAUCUUGGCUAUAAAAGGUAUCCGUUCACAUGGAGUAAUAGGAGGUUUGGGCCGUUAGUAGUUGAAGAAAGAUUGGACAGAGCUUUUUGCUCUAAAAAUUGGGGUAAUACCUUCCAAGAACAACCUAAAGAACAUAUUGAAACUUGGAGCUCUGACCAUUAUUCGAUUGUAAUGUAAGUGAUAGAGAAGGGAAAAACGUUGGGUUUUGGGGAAAGAACUUUCCAUAGAAUACAUUAUGAAGAUAUGUUGAGCCCGUAUGGAAAAUGUCCAGAGAUAAUUAGAAAGAAGUGGCGGGAGAAUUGCAUUUGGGAGGGAGCAAAUGUUGUGGAGCUGUUCAAAGAGACUGCAAAGAAGUCAAUGGCUGAAUUAUUAGUGGGGAGUUCAGAAGAAUUCAGGGAAAGAGAAAAAAAAUAAAAAAAAGUUGCUGAGAGCUAAAAAGCAUGAAGCAAAACUAUGAUCACUAUGUCGAUGGGGAAAAAAUCAAGGAGUUGGAAAAACAUAUUGAUAAUGCAUUGGUUAACAAAGAAAUUUACUGGAAACAAAUGUCAAGAGCUGAUUGGUUGCUUGAAAGGAACAGGAACACAAAGGUUUUCCAUUCCAAAGCCUCAUAACAGAAGAAAAAAAACAAGAUUUGGGGAGUUUUGGAUAAAAACGGAAGCUGGUCAGAAGAAGUAGAGGUGAUAGAGAGAAGGUUUUGUGACCACUUUACAAACCUUUUUACCACAAUAAACCCCUUAAGACAGCAAAGAGAGACAACCCUAAAGGAGAUGCCGAGGACAAUUACAGAUGAGAUGAAUGAGGAGCUGAUGAGACCUUUUACGGGGGAUGAAAUCAAAGAGGUACUCUUCCAAAUAUGCCCAACAAAAGCUCCUAGACCAAAUGGUUUCCCGGCAACUUUUUUUCAAAAGCACUGGAAUUUAGUGGGAGAAGGUGUGCUAGCAACAUGUUUACACAUCUUGAAUGGAAAAGGUAAAAUAGCUCGUCUCAAUCACGCCUAUAUUGUCCUUAUCCCAAAGGUGGAGAAACCAAGAGAUGUUAUAGAAUAUAGACCUAUUAGCUUGUGUAAUGUUAUUUAUAGAAUUAUAACAAAAACCAUAGCUAGUAGAUUGAAACAAAUUCUGCAUGCUGUAAUAUCACCAAAUCAAAGUGCAUUCAUACCAAAUAGAUUAAUUACGGACAACAUCAUUAUUGGAUAUGAAUGUCUCCACAAGAUUAGGUUGAGUAAGAGCAAGAAAAAUGGGCUAGUUGCUUUAAAAUUAUAUAUAAGCAAGGCCUAUGAUAGGGUGGAGUGGAGUUUCCUAGAGCAAGCAAUGUAUCAAUUAGGAUUCUUGAAAUCUUGGAUUGAUUUAAUUAUGAAUUGUAUCUCUACUGCAUCUUUGUCUGUAUUAAUAAAUGGGGCACUGUUAGAGUGCAAUUUAUGCACUAGUUUUGCAUUGUUUACUUCCUUUAAUAUCGAUGUUUUGCACUUAAUAAUAAUGUUUUACUUGUGUUUUACUUUUGUAGGUGCAAUUCUAUUGAUUGAUGAUAAAAUUGAGCUAUAAGAUGAUGUUUAAGGAUGAUUGUUCUCUUGGAGAAAUUAUGAGCGUCAGAAGAACUUUGUUGAUAAGGCGUGGGCGCGUGCUGUCAACUGCGGACCUGCAGUUUUAGUUUAACGUGUUUUGUAUUUUUGGUUAUUUUUGUAAUUACGAAUUUAAUAUUUCAGAUAUUAGUAUUUUAUUUUAAAUAGAACUCUAAAAGAGAAGAGAGAGAGGGUAUUUAAGGGAGGAAUCUAUUGUGAAAAAGGGGGAAAUUUUGGAUUGGAGGAAAAAGAAAGAAACCCUAGAUCUAAUUUUUCUCUUCUCUCUAUGAAGAACUAAACUUAUUUUUCUGGUU